GACGAACGCUGGCGGCGUGCCUAAUACAUGCAAGUAGAACGCUGAAGGAGGAGCUUGCUUCUCUGGAUGAGUUGCGAACGGGUGAGUAACGCGUAGGUAACCUGCCUGGUAGCGGGGGAUAACUAUUGGAAACGAUAGCUAAUACCGCAUAAGAGUAGAUGUUGCAUGACAUUUGCUUAAAAGGUGCAAUUGCAUCACUACCAGAUGGACCUGCGUUGUAUUAGCUAGUUGGUGGGGUAACGGCUCACCAAGGCGACGAUACAUAGCCGACCUGAGAGGGUGAUCGGCCACACUGGGACUGAGACACGGCCCAGACUCCUACGGGAGGCAGCAGUAGGGAAUCUUCGGCAAUGGACGGAAGUCUGACCGAGCAACGCCGCGUGAGGGAAGAAGGUUUUCGGAUCGUAAAGCUCUGUUGUAAGAGAAGAACGAGUGUGAGAGUGGAAAGUUCACACUGUGACGGUAUCUGACCAGAAAGGGACGGCUAACUACGUG
rnacentral:rRNA from 1 species